ACUUUCUUUAUGCCACGAAAUCUAAAGGUAGAAAUCUCAUGUUUUAGGUCAUUAAAAUGGACUGCGACUGGAUAAUCCCUGUCGUUUCGCCUGAUUGAGCUUUUAUGUUCACUAAUUCUCUGUUUGAGAGAGCGGGAGGUCUUACCGACAUAGCAGAGCCCACAUGGGCAUUUAAUAAUGUAAAUAACAUGGGUGGUGGAACACGUAAUGGUAUCAUUUAUUUGAAACCGUUUUCCUGUGUGGGGGUGGCAGGAAUAUUCACACUUCAUCAUAUUGUUGCACUGUGCGCAUCCUCUGCAUUUAUAGCUACCAUUUGGUAGAGGGCGUAAAAGAGCCUGGCUGAUUUUCUUUUGUGGCUGGCAGUUGGCAUGAACCAAUUUAUCGCGUAAAUUGCGACCUCUCCUAUACACAAUAAGUGAUGGAUUUUUAAAUUCAGCCGGCAAAGCUGGGUGCGAUGAUAAAAUAUGCCGGUGUUUCUUGACCGCAUCUCCCACUUUUCGCGAAUUCAAACUAUAUGUGGUUGUGAACAUUACGGAGUGUUCUUUUGCUUUAGCGGGUCUUUUUUUGUAACAAUUCAUCUCGUGUUUUUCCCAAUGCCAAAUUAAGAGCUUCAUCCACACAUUGUGGCGAAUAGCCGCUUCUUAGAAACCUAAUGCGCAUCUCCGCUGCUUUUGCUAGAUAAUGCUCUGUGGAGUGGCAUAUAUGGCGCAGUCUGAAAAACUGGCUUCUUGGAAGUCCUCGUUUUAAUGGCUCAGGAUGAAAGCUGUCCCCCUGUAAUAGACUGGUUCUGUCCGUUUCUUUUCUAUACAGAGUUGUAAACAGGGUUCCAUUUGAUUUCUCAAUCCACAUAUCGAGGUAAUGACCGCGUUGAGUGUCACAUUCAAUGGUGAAUUUGAGAUUGGGGUCAAUGUCAUUGAGUAGUGCCAUACAAUCUGACAGCUCUUGUUCAAUUCCUUCCCAUAUGCAAAAAAAAUUCGUCAAUAUAUCGAUACCACUUCAGGAUUUUAUUCAAAAAUGGGUUUUCGUUUUCAUUAUUGACAAAACGUUCUUCAAAUAGACCCACAUAAAGGUUAGCGUAGCUCGGAGCGAAUGUGGAGCCCAUCGAUGUUCCAUUCGUUUGGAGGUAGUAUUCAUCAUCAAACCUAAAAUAGUUAUACGUCAAAACAUAUUCUGCCAGCUCUAGAAUAAAGUUUGUUGGUGUAUAUUCAUUAGUAUCUCUGUCUCCCAAAUAGUGAGCUAGUGCUGCCAGCCCCUCCACAUGGGGAAUGCUGGUAUAUAGACUCUCCACAUCUAAUGUGACCAAAAUACAGUCUUCUGUUAAACCCGUUAUUGGACAAUAACCCAACACACCUCCAGGCUGUGUAAGGGCUAUUUGACCAAGAAGGAGAGUGAUGGAGUGCUGCAUCAGAUGACCUGGCCUCCACAAUCACCUGACCUCAACCCAAUUGAGAUGGUUUGGGAUGAGUUGGACCGCAGAGUGAAGGAAAAGCAGCCAGCAAGUGCUCAGCAUAUGUAGGAACUCCUUCAACACUGUUGGAAAAGUAUUCUAGGUGAAGCUGGUUGAGAGAAUGCCAAGAGUGUGCAAAGCUGUCAACAAGGCAAAGGGUGGCUACUUAGAAAAAUCUCAAAUUAAAAUUAUUUUGAGUUGUUUAACACUUUUUUGGUUGUGUCCAUUAUCUUAUCUACAUACUUUAUAUCUGGUUUUAGUUGUUAAAAGUUUACACUGAACUGUUUUUUUUGUU
rnacentral:lncRNA from 1 species